rnacentral:rRNA from 1 species
GAUGAACGCUGGCGGCGUGCCUAAUACAUGCAAGUCGAGCGAACGGACGAGAAGCUUGCUUCUCUGAUGUUAGCGGCGGACGGGUGAGUAACACGUGGAUAACCUACCUAUAAGACUGGGAUAACUUCGGGAAACCGGAGCUAAUACCGGAUAAUAUUUUGAACCGCAUGGUUCAAAAGUGAAAUACGGUCUUGCUGUCACUUAUAGAUGGAUCCGCGCUGCAUUAGCUAGUUGGUAAGGUAACGGCUUACCAAGGCAACGAUGCAUAGCCGACCUGAGAGGGUGAUCGGCCACACUGGAACUGAGACACGGUCCAGACUCCUACGGGAGGCAGCAGUAGGGAAUCUUCCGCAAUGGGCGAAAGCCUGGCGGAGCAACGCCGCGUGAGUGAUGAAGGUCUUCGGAUCGUAAAACUCUGUUAUUAGGGAAGAACAUAUGUGUAAGUAACUGUGCACAUCUUGACGGUACCUAAUCAGAAAGCCACGGCUAACUACGUG